UUAUCAAUAAUGUUCUUUUCCUAUUAGGUGUUCACGACUCACCAUUGGAUGGUGCGAAUCUACAAGUUGAAAUCGCCUAAGAAUAGAAUCCGUGGAAAGUUGAAAAAGGCGAAAUCUGUAUGUUAAACCAUCAUCAAUUGAAUAUAUUUCAAUUUUAAACAAUAUAUUUCCAUGCUUAUAGAAAUAAUAAAUUUUCUACCUUUUCUUUUGCCGUUCUCAAAGACAAAUCCGACAGGAAAUGGGAGGAAGACAAGGGUAAAUCCAUGGCACUGAUGUGGAUCCUUUGUUUUUUUGUCAAAAAUCAAAUAUAUCUUCGAUCACAUGGAGACUACUUGCUAGUAACAGGUUUUGUCAA
rnacentral:lncRNA from 1 species